rfam:Xenopus laevis strain J chromosome 4L, whole genome shotgun sequence.
ACACAGGCUCUCCUGAGAGCCCCAUAAAGGGACAAUAAGAUGUUG